UACGUAGGGGGCAAGCGUUGUCCGGAAUCAUUGGGCGUAAAGAGCGUGUAGGCGGCUCGAUAAGUCCGCUGUGAAAGUCCAGGGCUCAACCCUGGAAUGCCGGUGGAUACUGUCGGGCUCGAAUCCGGAAGAGGUGAGUGGAAUUCCUGGUGUGAGCGGUGAAAUGCGCAGAUAUCAGGAGGAACACCAAUGGCGAAGGCAGCUCACUGGGACGGUAUUGACGCUGAGACGCGAAAGCGUGGGGAGCAAACAGG
rnacentral:rRNA from 1 species